CCCGAGUUGUCCCCGGCAGUCCCCUUAGAGUCCCCGGCUUUACCCGCUGGCAACAUCGAACGAGGGUUGCGCUCGUUGCGGGACUUAACCCAACAUCUCACGACACGAGCUGACGACAGCCAUGCACCACCUGUAUACCGACCUUGCGGGGGCUACAUCUCUGCAGCUUUCCGGCAUAUGUCAAACCCAGGUAAGGUUCUUCGCGUUGCAUCGAAUUAAUCCGCAUGCUCCGCCGCUUGUGCGGGUCCCCGUCAAUUCCUUUGAGUUUUAGCCUUGCGGCCGUACUCCCCAGGCGGGGCACUUAAUGCGUUAGCUACGGCACGGAACCCGUUGAUAAGGCCCCACACCUAGUGCCCAACGUUUACGGCGUGGACUAC
rnacentral:misc_RNA from 1 species